CAAAAAUUAGCCGGGUAUGGUGGCAUGUGCCUGUAGUCCCAGCUGCUCGGGAGGCUGAGGCAGGAGAAUUGUUUGAACCCAGGAGGCGGAGGCUGCAGUGAGCUGAGAUCACACCACUGCUCUCCAGCCUGGGCAACAGAAGGAGAUUCUUUCUCAAAAAAAAAAAGAAAAGAAAAAAGAAAAAAAAAGAAAGCAGGGACGUCAUCACUGAUCCUUCUGACAUGACAGACAUUAAAAAGCUAAUAAGUGGCUGGGUACAGUGGCUCAUGCCUGUAAUCCAGCACUUUCGGAGGCUGAGGUGGGCAGAUCACCUGAGGUAAGGAGUUCAAGACCAGCCUGGCCAACAUGGCGAAACCCCGUCUCUACCAAGAAUACAAAAAUUAGCCAGGCGUAGUGGUGCGCACCUGUAGUCCCAGCUACUCAGGAGGCUAAACGAAAUCAAAGAUCUAAAUAAAUGGAUAGAAAUACUGUAUCCAUGGAUAGGACAACUCAAUAUUGCUAAAAAGCCAAUUUUUCUCGAAGUGAUAUAUAGAUUGGGUUCAAGCCAUUCUCCUGCCUCAGCCUCCCUAGUAGCUGGGAUUAUAGGCACCUGC
rnacentral:lncRNA from 1 species